CCCGCGCGCCACAGGCUCCUCCCCCUACGGGCGGAGCUACUGGUGAACUGUAGCCCCAACUGUGGGUGGGGCUGGACUGGGGGACAGUGCUCUGGGCGGAGCUAUGGCUGGCCUCUGGGCGGGGCAGUGGGCGGAGCGACAACGGCGCGGGUCUUGGGGAGUCUGUAUGUUCAUGUCCUGACGCUGGGUGGCGCUGUUGUGCGGUCCCGAUUCUGGACGAACAAAGACAGGAGUGUGGCCCUAAUCUCUGCAUGUCUUCCUGAAGCUCACCUGUAGCCUGAGAUAGAGUGGGGGGAAUACGUUUGCUUCCCUAGUAAAAUGAGACAGGCAGAUAACGAAGCGGGCAAAACUCGCAAUUAUGUAAGGGUCAGUCGGUUUUCCGGUGACACAAGCUGAGACUGAAGUGAGCCCCUAGAGAUCUUGUUCAAUCUAGAGAUCAGAUUUAACACUUGGACCCCUAACAUAACCCUUUCGGGGUGUUGUUCCUUUUAACAACCUCAGAAUAAUCCACAAAGGCAUGCGAUCUUAUGUACAAUAUGGAGGAACUAUAGACUCGAGUUAAGACAUCCUGGUUUAGUUCUUCUCGAGUUACCUACACCAACCAACCUGUUCCAGAGAAACUGUUUCUGCAGUGGGCCCUCCAUUGUCAAGUUUCCCUGCCAUCAGAGGUGACCGAUCCAUCAUCUGUUUUUCAGAACAGUAGAUCCACUAACUGGCCAGAGACUGUUGACUGGUUUGUUUGUUUAUUCACUUUUGUGUUUAUUAAAUAUGGUCUCACGUA